AAUCAACGCUGGCGGCGUGCCUAACACAUGCAAGUCGAACGAGAAAGUGACUUCGGUCACUGGAUAGUGGCGUCCGGGUGAGUAACACGUAGGUAAUCUACCUUCGGGUGGGGAAUAACUCGCCGAAAGGCGAGCUAAUACCGCAUAAUGCAGCGGCACCUAAUGGUGAUUAGUUGUUAAAGCGGGGGAUCUUCGGACCUCGCGCCUGAAGAGGAGCCUGCGGCAGAUAGCUAGUUGGUGAGGUAAUGGCUCACCAAGGCUUCGAUCUGUAGCUGGUCUGAGAGGACGGCCAGCCACACUGGCACUGACACACGGGCCAGACUCCUACGGGAGGCAGCAGUGGGGAAUUUUGGGCAAUGGGCGAAAGCCUGACCCAGCAACGCCGCGUGAAGGAGGAAAUCCUUCGGGAUGUAAACUUCAUAAGUAAGGGAAGAAAGCUGCGGAUUGAAUAAAUCCGCAGUCCGACGGUACCUU
rnacentral:rRNA from 1 species